rnacentral:rRNA from 1 species
CACGUAGGGGACGAGCGUUGUCCGGAAUUAUUGGGCGUAAAGAGCUCGUAGGCGGUUUGUCGCGUCUGCUGUGAAAACUCGAGGCUCAACCUCGGGCUUGCAGUGGGUACGGGCAGACUAGAGUGCGGUAGGGGUGACUGGAAUUCCUGGUGUAGCGGUGGAAUGCGCAGAUAUCAGGAGGAACACCGAUGGUGAAGGCAGGUCACUGGGCCGCAACUGACGCUGAGGAGCGAAAGCAUGGGGAGCGAACAGG